GGUUUCGUGGCCCAAUGGCAAGGCGUCUGACUACGAUGAGAGAGUUCCUACUUCCCUCUUAGUAAUCAGGAGAUUCUGGGUUCGACCCCCAGCGAGAUCA